GAUGUUGCCGAGCGAGCGAGCUGAUCGAAUCUGUGUUUUCGGUUCGUCGUGAAGAUCAACAUGGCAACAGGACAUUCCUUGUCAGUGGUUACCAAUUCUUGUAUUACGAGGCCUAGAAUUCCGAAUUCGAACUUGCCAGAGAGUGAAUUAGAUCGAGAUCUAGCAAGAAGUCGUGAUCUAAAAAAGGAUGCACUUUUGGCCUCAUGUAAUGGCUCUGAAUAUCAUGAAUAUGACCAGGAACAAUUUGCUCAGUCCCAUUCGAAGGGAUUUGGCGGUGGCUCCUUGGAAGAAGAUGCACUUAUUGAUCAGCUCACAAACGAUGUGGAGAACAUCAGUAGUGAAGAUUUUUACAAACGUCUGAAAGAACUGAAAGAGAAACAUCGGGUAACACUGAAUUCUCUGGAGAAGAGGUAUAAAAAGAAAGUGUCUCGAAAGCGACAAGAAAUUGAGUUUGAAAAUAAUGCGCGGAAUGAAAUGGGAUUGGGCGGAGAUGACAAUGGCAACGACUGGAGCUUGAGUAUGAAUUACAUGAAUGGAAUUGAUAAAGUGAAAGGAAUGACUAAGAGUGGUCCAGUUUAUGUAGCUGAACAUGAACACAAACAUAUGGAUGACACGCUGCAGGCGUUUAACCAGAGUUUACCGGCAUGGUCAGCUCUACCAAGAGAUAAUGUGAGAGACAUGUCAUCAAAACCACCGACUGGACGGCCUCAGACAGCAUGGACUGAGCGCCCAAAGUCCAGAUCUUCUGCACGCAAUGGCGUCCAUGGUCAGAAACAAAAGCCAGAUUGGAGUGAUGUCACUUGGAGCGGGAGUGAGUGUUCAGCUACAACGGAUGAAAUAUUAUCCAGUGUAAACACUUCGCUUGAUCUUUCAUUGAGUAAGCAGCCUGGAUCCCCAGCUGCAGUAGUUGACAAUAUGUGGGAAGAUUUCAGCGUCGACUCCUACGUACCCCGUUCUCGCAGUUUGUCCAGAACAUCUGCCCGCAGCAACUCAACUCAACAGAGCAAGGCAAAGGAAUGGUCUCCUAAAAUAACCAUCCCAAAGCCUUUUAGCAUGUCCUUGAGGGAAUCUAGUGAAGAACGGAAGAAAACAAGAGCCUCCAUGGACCUUGAUCAAGCAAGACUUGAUAGAGAGAAACAAGAGGAAAUAGAAUGCCAGAAGAAGUUCAAAGCGAACCCAGUACCCGCUCAUACUUUCCUACCGCUCUAUGAUGAAAUAAUGGAUCAACAAGUUGAAAAGUCGAAGAAGAACAGAGAAGAGAGCUACAAGAAACUCACAACUACUCAAAAACCAUUCAAGCUGACAGAAACUAAAAAGCACCAAAGAUCUGCAAGUGCUCCUUUGUCAGCGAGGCGGCCAAAGACACCGUCCUUCAAGGCCAAACCAGUUCCAAAUUCUGUCUUUGAUCCGACAGUUGAUGAGCAAAUUUUAGAGGAAGAAGAAUACCGGAAGAUCAGAAUCAAGAUGAGAGCUGAGGAGAUGUUGAGGCAAUCUUCACUCCCUCCUAAUAUGCAGAUCAGAGGCAAGGAGUAUACUGAUGGAAAGAUGAGAAUGAAGAUGCAGAAAAAGCGGGAGAAGCAGGCUUUCCUCACAACAGAACACAAAUUCAGACCCCAGGUAAAUGGAGAGAUUCCAGACUAUGAUGAAUUACAUCGCAGGUUCCAGGAGGAGGUUCAGAGGAAAAAGAGAGAAAAGGAUCCGACUGUUAUUGAGCCCUUCAAUCUCAGGACAGCCAGAAUUCCCUCUCGCAAGUCUAGAGCUCUGAUCGAAAUGGAGGAGGAAGAGGAGAGGCGGAAGGAGGCCCUCCGAGGGUCUUUGUCAAAGUCUGCUUCUCUAAGAAGAUCCAUUGACAUGGGUGAUACGCUCCCGUCGAAGACGACCAAUGCUAACGAGCUGCGGAAGAGUGCACUUAGUAAGACACAGAUAGAGAAGGCUGAGCGGGAGAGACAGGAGGUGGAGCAGGAGAAACAGAGGAGAUACAGAGAGAAAAAGCUUCAACGAUUCAUCACCAGCAAAGCUAGGGCCAACGACACUUCCCAGAGCCUGGAGGCUACCAAUAGGGAGAAAUUAAGACAGCACAGAGAGUCUGAGAGAGCUCGUGAAGAAGAAUAUGAACGAGAGCUGCAGGAAAUGAUGGCCAGGAUUGAAUCCCGUCCUCUUCUCUUUGAGAGAGAGACCGAGUUAAAUGCCAAGAAACGUGCAGAAAGAAAGUAUGAGAGUGCCCUCAAGAAUGCGGGAAUCAGUGAGGACUUCUUGGAGCGUAAGGGGCGUUCAGGAGCCACCCAGAUACUGAGCGGUGGGGGAGGAAGGGAAGACGAGAGCAGGAGUGAAGCAAGCUACAACUACGAUUACGACGAUGACGGUGAUGACUAUGGAGGUUACAGUGGCGCUGGUGAUGGAAGAGACAAGUACGAUGAUGACGACACUCCCGCAAGUGAUGAUGAUUAGAUUCAAUGUAAAUGAAUCAUUUCCAAGUUGUCUUUCUUUGUAUAAUCUCAUUGAUCACCUUGCCCUACCAUCCUUCCUGUAUGUUUUGAUGCAAUGAAGGAGAGUCCCUGUUUCCAUCAAAGGUGGUUGCCAAGGAAGUCAGUAUUUCAUUAAAUUUUGAUCGUUGAUUUUUCAGUGACAGAUGUUAUAGGCUAUAAUGUAAAUGCUUGCAUCUGAUUGGCUGAGUGCAUAUUAGUGAGUGAAAAUCACUGACCAAACCUUUCAUGAAAUGCUCUAGAGAUACAUUUUGUGUUCAGGUCCAUGGUCCUUCCCAUUUUUAUUCUCCCGAUAAACUUGGAAACACUUUAAUAGAUCAACCUCUAACCUGACUCGUGUGAUGUUGUCUACUAAUAGUGACAAUGAUGAAAGUAGGUUUAGAAAUUCAUAAGUUGGUGAAAACAUCGCCCGUGUACAAAUACAUAUAUACUAAUAUUUAAUGGUAAUAGUAUGAGAUUUUGAGCCAAUUGUCAGUCAGUUUUGACAAUAAUAUAAAUGACGAAGGUAUUUAAAUCUACUCAUAGAUUGAUAUUUAUUUUGAUUAAAUUCUACAAUUAUGAUCUGGCUGUAGAAAUACAUUAAUUUGAAGCAUGUGUAGAAUCUAUCUACAUUUCUUUUUCAUUUUAGUUUUGUAUGUACCAUGCGUCCCAGAAAAAAGGAAACCAGAAUUCAGUGUAUUUUUUUGCCAUCAUGAUUAUGAAUUUGCAUCAUGAGAUGUACAUCAAUGAAAAGAUACACUUUCCCUCUUUCAUUUGAAGCCCAUCUCAACGUUCAUGGUGCUUAAAUGACUGAGUUAGAACAAUUGAAAGUGAUGCUAGCAAAUUUCCAUUUGCACAAGCAAAUUACAAAUUUGAGUGACUUUUUCUGGCUUUUACUGCUAUGUAUUUGGAAAACAAAGUUCAUUACUUUAAUAUUCAUUUUUUCAUCUUUCAUAUGAGACCUCAUGCAUAAAAUAUGAUUGAUGCAUUGUUGAGAUAAAGUUGCAUGAAAACAUGCUUGAUUUCUACCUAUUGGACGGAUUGUUGAAAAACUACCGGUGAAUGCGCGGUGAGUGUGAUUUUAUGGUUGGCUUGAAUGUUAUUUUUGAAUUCUUUUUGUAAAACUUGUAAAAAAAAUUGCUUGAAAUGAUGAGACAAGGCAGGGGCGGUGGAAUGUUGGAGGGGGGGGGGAGGGGUGACCCACUUAAAGAAAAACAACUUGAGAAAAGGGCUUUCUUCCCUUCAAUUGUAAAAAGUGAUGUACCCCUUUUUGCUGUGCCCCACUGCCUUCUAACAUAUUCUGCCGCCCGUGUGAAAUGUAGCGACGAAUGAAAUAACUGAGAGAAAUUUGAGAUAAAACUCAUUAAAAUUAUUACCAUUGUAACAUUUAAAAAACAUUAAAAAAAACAUUGAAUUCUCACAGCCAUAGACUCCAGGCUGCAACAAUAAAGGGCUUUCCUUCCCCCUUCCGAACAGCAUUCACUGUUAGCCUAUUGUCUGCUGCUUUGUUUUUCAACGAUCCACCGAAUAGGUAGAAAUUGAGCAUGUUUUCAUGCAAUUUUUUCUUGACCAUGCAUCAUUCUUUUUUUAUGCAUAAGGUCUCAUAUGGAAUAGGAAAAGAUGAAUAUUCAAGUUAUAAAAUUUGUUUUCCGAAUAGAUAACGGUGAAAGAUGGCAAAACUCACUCAAAAUCACGAUUUGCUCGUGCAAAGGGAAAUUUAGUACCACCGCUUUUCAUUGUUCUAACUCAGUCAUGCGUGCAUUAUGAAUGUUAGAUGGGCCUCAAAUAAAAGAAGAGAAGUAUAUCUUUCCAUUCAUGUACAUUUAUAAAGUAAAUUUAUGAUCAUGAUAGGAAAAUUUACACUGAAUCACGGUUUCAUUUUUUCUGGGACGCACUGUAUAUGUAAGAUUGGAAGUAAUUUGUCAUGUGUCUGCAUUUGGUACAUGCAUUGAUUUAUGUUCACAUGAAAUCAGUUAGAAAGAUUGUGCUCUACUUUGUAAAAUAAUAAUCAGUUUCCGACAAAUAUAUCAUUGAUGAUACUGGUGUGUAGAUAUUUCUAAAAAAUCCUACAUUCCUCAACUUUUUAUGUUAAUGGUUAUAUGAAUAUUGUGACCAAGUUGAAAGCUUUAUGUAAUUCCUAGUAAGAAUAUUUGGAUUGUACAAUUUCUAUCAUCUGUAUUUAGUGAUGUAAUAAAUCUUUUAAAUGUAAUAAACCCUGA